rnacentral:misc_RNA from 1 species
UCUCCGUAGGUGAACCAGCGGAGGGAUCAUUACAGAGUUGUAACACUCGCAGGUCAUCCUCAACCCCACUGUUAUCGUUACUUCCGUUUCUUUCGCGGCCGCCCGCUUCCCCCGCCGCCGGCCUCCAAGAGGCGCCGCGCGCCCUCCAGAGUCAUUCGAACCCUUGAUGUUUGUGUCGUCUGAGUACUAAAUAAUUGUUAAAACUUUCAACAACUGAUGUCUUGGUUCUGGCAUCGAUGAAAAACGCAGAAGACCGGAAGGAACCACGGUUGAACUCCA